rnacentral:rRNA from 1 species
GAUGAACGCUGGCGGCGUGCCUAACACAUGCAAGUCGAGCGAACAGACGAGGAGCUUGCUCCUCUGACGUUAGCGGCGGACGGGUGAGUAACACGUGGAUAACCUACCUAUAAGACUGGGAUAACUUCGGGAAACCGGAGCUAAUACCGGAUAAUAUAUUGAACCGCAUGGUUCAAUAGUGAAAGACGGUUUUGCUGUCACUUAUAGAUGGAUCCGCGCCGCAUUAGCUAGUUGGUAAGGUAACGGCUUACCAAGGCGACGAUGCGUAGCCGACCUGAGAGGGAGAUCAGCCACACGGGAAGGGAGAAAGGGUAGAGAAUCCUACGGGAGGAAGCAGUGGGGAAUAUUGGACAAUGGGCGAAAGCCGGAUCCAGGCAUACCGCGGAAGUGAAGAAGGACUUAGGGUUGGAAAGCCAUGUUGGUGGGAAAGAAAAGAAGCAGGUUAAUACGGCGUGGUACUGACGGUACCGAAAGAAUAAGCACCGGCUAACUUCGUG